rnacentral:rRNA from 1 species
GACGAAGGGGGCUAGCGUUGUUCGGAAUUACUGGGCGUAAAGCGAGUGUAGGUGGUUGUCCAAGUUGGAUGUGAAAGCCUUGAGCUCAACUCAAGAAGUGCAUUCAGGACUGGGCGGCUAGAGGACCGGAGAGGAUAGUGGAAUUCCCAGUGUAGUGGUGAAAUACGUAGAGAUUGGGAAGAACACCAGUGGCGAAGGCGGCUAUCUGGACGGUUUCUGACACUAAGACUCGAAAGCGUGGGGAGCAAACAGG